GUUUCUAUUCUGAGCUCUAAGUGUCUCUGGAUUAUGCAGCCUGCUUUAAUUUAUCAGUUUAUUUUAACUGAUGUCUCAGGCGCUGUUGUUGCAUUUUCAGGUUUCUAUUCUGAGCUCUCAGUUUCUCUGGAUUACGCAACCUGCUUUAAUUUACAGUUUAAUUUAUCUGAGGUGUCCAGCGCUGUCGUUGCAUUUCAGGUUUCUGUUCUGAGCUUGAAGUGUCUCUGGAUCACCAGGCCUGCUCUUAUUUAAAAAUUUAUUUAAUUGGACGUCUCCAGAGCUGUGGUUGCAUUUUCAGGUUUCUGUCCUGAGCUCUCAGUGUCUCUGGAUUGCGCAGCCUGCAUUAAUUUAUCAGUUUAUUUAAUCUGAUGUCUCCAGCACUGUGAUUUCAUUUUCAGGUUUCUAUUAUGAGAUCUAAGUGUCUCUGGAUUACGCAGCCUGCUUUAAUAUACAGUUCAUUUUAUCUGACGUCUCCCAGCGAUGUCGUUGCAUUUUAGGUUUCUUUUCUGAUCUCUCAUUGUCUCUGGAGUACACAGCCUGCUUUAAUUUAUCAAUUUAUUUUAUCUGACUUCUCCAAGCACUGUCGUUGCAUUUUCAGGUUUGUAUUCUGAGCACUCAGUGUCUCUGAAUUACGAAGCCUGCUUUAAUUUAUCAGUUUAUUUUUCUAACGUCUCC
rnacentral:lncRNA from 1 species